ensembl:lncRNA
CCACCCCAGCCCUGUUCUGCUCCCUAGGGAGGGUGAGGCCCUCCAUGGGGGAAGUUCUUUAACAAUGUGGUAACUGUAAGAACACAAUACAUCUGUUACUAAUAUAAUCCCAACAUUCAGGAGGCAGUGGUAAAGGGAUUAACACAAGUUCAAAUCCAGCCUGGUCUACAUAGGGAGUUCCAGGCCAAACAGAUAAUACACUGUGAGAGCUUAUUUCAAUCUUUAUUCUCCAUGCUCUACCAAAAGUGAACCCUAGAAUUCUGAAUAUUGUGAAAUGUGAUGUGUCUACCUCAGACUUUCCUAGGAACUCCACCUGCAGGUCUUGAAGCAUCUGCAGCAAUCAAGAUAUGUCCUUUAAGUGUGCUGAAGUCAGGAAGGGGACUACCUCUGACCACAUCUGACUACCCCUUCUCUGACCCCACAGGAGUGACUAGUGGAACAGGGCCAUCAUGUGCAGUUUGUAGACACUGUGGGGCUGUCUGGAGUGAUUCAUGUUCAGCUUUGGCAUGAGCCUGGAUUUAAUAAAAGUCAGUGAGUGGCCCUUCCUCUCCCCUGUAUUUCCCCAGGCAAGAAGUCAGUCAAGCCUGAGACUCAAACUAUCCUUGGUUCAUGCUCUGACCUUGAGACCACCCUUUGAAGGUCUGGAAAUCUCCUGGAAAGCACAGUUUUGGAGGGGGUUGCGGGCUACCGGGGUGUACAGUCUGGGGCAAUGGACACCAGCCUCAAUCUGACCCAACCUCUUCCCAGAGUCAGAAGGAAGCAUCUUCAGGUUGGGAGGGGCCUGUAUCUCGUGAUUGUCUCUCCCUGAUAGAGAAAACCCUCAGUUCAGUGGUGCUAAUGGGAGAAGUGCAUCAGCUUUCUGGUAAGCAAGAAUCUGUCCACAGACAUUACUGGUUUCUUAAGCACAUGGGGUUCCAAAACAUCUGUCAGCUUGGGGAUUGUGGGAGGGCAGAACACAGGCUGUCUUUCCUGAAAAGUUCAAACCACAGUAUAAUCCAUCUGGCAGACAUUGAGUGCUGCUGUGCAACUGAUAGAGCUCUUUACUGCCCUGUGUAAAUGAAGAGACUUGCAGUCCCUUUGUGAGGAACAUAUUACUAUUUGUAAAUCAAGGUGAAACAUCAUAGAUGUAUAGAUGUGACCAUCACCAGCUCUGAAUGUUGGGCUAUGACCUUAUCCUUGGAUUUCUAACUUGGAAAUGGACUGAGGUAUUUACCCAGAAGCCAACAUAAGCAAACUUUCUGACGGACAUGUAGCACCACUGCAACCCCCAGAGGUUAAACAGUCUGACAAACAUGUAAAGGCAUAGUGGGAGAAUCUGCCCACUUUAAAUAUUAAGAAUAAAGGGGUCGGGCAUUGGUGGUGCACACCUUUAAUCCCGAGCACUCGGGAGGCAGAGGCAGGUGGAUCUCUGUGAGUUCGAGGUCAGCCUGGUCUCCAGGGCUAGUGCCAGGAUAGGCUCCAAAGCAAUACAGAGAAACCCUGUCUCGAAAAACCAAAAAAAAAAAAAAAAAAAAAAAAAAAAAAAAAAAAAAAAAAAAAGAGUAAAGGGGAUUGUUUAGCCCUAUAUUUAUUUCUGACAACACACAGAACAAAGUUUGUAGGGAACCUAUUAAAAUGCAUCCCUUCCACUCUGAGGAGAAAAGUGGGUAUUGCAUAAGCCCUGCAGUUUUUUGAAGUUGCAGAAACUCAGAGUGCCCUACAGACCUUGAAGCCUUCCCCAUCCUACGUCAGUCUAUAUUUGGGCCUGAGAUUCACACUUUCAUGCUUAGUUGCUGAACUUGUAAGUAGGCUGAAGCCUCAUAGGGAGAGAGAUACCUGGCGUGUCUGGCUUCGGACCUUUGGAUUCAACUGGUUCUGAUCUCUGGCUGAUCCUAGCUUCCCAACACAUCACAUAACUCAAGUCAGGAGCCAGACAGCAUCCCCGUCAGUCAAAGGACUAAAAUUAGACUUGGCCAAGUGGAAUCUGGCCCGAGUGGUCUCCUUUGUUGUUGCUAUUGUUUUUUGAAACAGGGUUUCUCUAUUUAGCCUUGGCUGUCCCAGAACUUGCUAUGUAGACCAGACUAGCCUCUAACUCACAGAAAUCUGCCUGCUUCUGCUUCCUGAGUACUGGGAUUAAAGGUGUGCACCACCAUGCCCAGCUCCUGGUAGUCUCCUUUAUGGGAGACUGGUAGAAUGCAUUAGAGAGUAUAGCUUCAUACAUGCACACAGAACACAUAUACAUACACACACUGGUGCACACAUAUAUACGUAUGUGCACAUAGCAUUUACAUUUACACAAACAUAGAUAACACACAUAUACAUAGACACAUAGGCACACACAGGCAUACAUGUGUGCACACACACAUCUAGUGCAUUCAUCCCUCUAGCACCCUCCCCUGUUGCUUUCUUGGGUUCUUGAAGCCACACAGUUUAGUGGGCAUAGGAAGUCUAACUUCAGUGUCCUCUGGAGCUGAAGAGGCCUCCAGAUGUAUGCUGCCUCUUUCGAUUAUUUGGACAUCUGAAGUCAUUGUGAACAGAGAGAAUGGUCACAGAUACCCAGGACAAAGAGCUGGGGAUGCCUACAUGCUGCCAGUGCCCAACCCCCACCUCCUGCUCUUUGGCUCAGGACAAUACAUGACCUAUCCAGGGCACAGCUGACACUUCUAUAAUCAAGUAGCAGGGCAGUCCUUCAUGGUCUCUCUCUGGUAUAGAUGAAAGUUUCUGUCCCACCCAGUCACACAGCAAUUUAGUCCCAAAUAAACACACAGAGGCUGAUAUUAAUUAUAAACUGUUUGGCCUAUUGCUCAGGCUUCUUAUUGGGUAGCUCUCUCUUAAUUAUUAACCUAUUUCUAUUAAUCUGUGUAUCUCCACAUGGUAUUGGCUUACUGGAGAAUGCUUGGGCAUCCUACCUUCCUGGUAGCUACAUGGUGUCUCUUUUAUGACUCACUCUCUGCAUUCCUCUCCCAAGAAUUCUUCUAGUCUGGUAACCCUACCUAUACUUCCUGCCUGGCUACAUCCUGCCUGUCCACUGGCUGAAACAGUUUUAUUCGUCAACCAAUAAGAGAAACAUACAUUCACAGCAUAAAGAAAGACAUCCUCCAUCACUCUGGUCUUCUCUGACCUAACCCUGCUAGCUACACCACUCUCAGACAUUCCCCCAGAGCAGCACAGCUUCUCUAGAACUCUGGUUGCUGCCCUGACUGCCCUGUUCUUUUCAAAGCUGGGCAGCUCAUCCUCCCAGAUCUUAUCCUAGCUCUUUUACAAGGUAUGACUUCCCCACAGAUGCCUUCUCCCCAGACUGGUACUUGCUCGCCCUGCUUCUGGCAUUAGCAGCCAGCUUCAAAUGGUAUUUAGGGCAGGGAUAGGCCCCUCUCUGUCCUUUCCUCCCCCAGAGCUCAGGCUAUAUGUAGCACAGCACUCAUCAGAAAGAAAAUACAAAGUUGUGAAUUGGGUGGUAGCAUAUAUCCAUUCCAUUUGGUUUAUACUUUUUAUCUGUCUGCCAUGGUAGUACAUGGGCAUCAGGAAGUAAUUUUUUCCCCAAAAUUAAGCUUGCAGCUGCUUCAUACUAGUUCUAACUAUUGGUGCCAAAGUCUCAGAGUCGAGCUUCCUAGAGGUAUUUACCAGGCAGGAAAUACUGGUGAGCCUCCAGAUCCUAAAAUACUUAAAUUCUUUAGAUAUUUUAUGGAUCACAUAAACAGAGUUUUCUUCAUGUUUUCUGCUGGAGCUAUGUCCCUUUCCCCUGUGCAAUGAUUGUUUUUCUGAAAUGCUACCUUUCUUCACACACCCAGAUUCUCAUUCCUGAGAUUGAUGUAAGCUGUUGGUUUGUGUGUUUGAGAUGGGAUCUUACUAUGUAGCUCUGGUUGUCUUGGAACUCACUAUGUAGUGUGUGCUACCAUGCCCAGUUAAUAUAAGCAUUUUAUUAAUUAUUUUAUUUUAUUUUAUUUUAUUUUAUUGGUUUUUUGAGACAGAGUUUCUCUGUUAGCCCUGUCUGUCCUGGAACUCACUCUGUAGACCAGGGCUCAAACUCAAGAGAUCUGCCUGCCUCUGCCUCCUAAGUGCUGGGAUUAAAGGCAUGCACCACCACCAUCUGGCAGCAUUUUAAAAUAUUGCCUUUUAUUUAUUUAUAUGUGUAUGUACAUGUGUGUGUAGUGUGUGCAGUGUGUGUGUGUGUGUGUGUGUGUGUGUGUGUGUGUGUGUGUGUGUGUGUACCACAACACUCAUGGAUGUCAGAUGACACUAUUCAGGAGUCAGGUGUCUCCUUCUAUCAUGUGGGCCCCGGGAUUGAACUCAGGUCCUCAGGUUUGGGCUGCAGGUGCCUUUAUAGGCUGAGCUAAUUUAAAGAGUCAACAGAACUCUCGCUUUGCAAAUAGUAACUCCCAUGGUCACUAUGCAGUUUACACUUCAAUAGCCCCUUAAGUUCCCAGGGUUUCAUGAUAAUUGAUGUCAAGAAGGACCAAGUUACCUGCUGCACCCUCUGGACUGAAAGGAAGUUACUCUAGAAUUUAUUUCACCAAUGUUUAGAAAAUAAAUCACUAUGAGAAAAUGGGUUGUGUCCUAGGAAUAUGACUUAGUUAGGGUUUCGAUUGCUAUGAUGAAACACCAUGACCCAAAAGCAAGUUGGGGAGGAAAUUGUUUAUUAGGCUUAUACUUUAGCACUGCUGUUCAUCAAUGAAGGAAGUCAGGACAGGAACUCAAACAGGGCAGGAUCCUGGAGGCAGGAGCUGAUGUAGAAGCCAUGGAGGGGAGCUGCUUACUUGCUUGCUUCCUCUGGCCACUUAGCCCACCUUCUUAUGGAACCCAGGACCACCUGCCCAGGGAUGGCAUUACCCACCAUGGGCUAGGCCCUCCCUCAAUGAUCACUAACUGAAAAAAUGUCUUAUAGCUGGAUCUCAUUGAGGCCUUUCUUCCACUGAGGCUUCUUCCUCUCUAAUGACUCUAACUUGUGUCAAAUUGACAUAUAAAACCAGCCAGUACAGAAUGAAAGAGUGUCUCAAUGACUUAAUGGAGAAACUGUGAUUAUCUCAAUUGAUGCAGAAAAAGAUUUGAAUAGGGACUAGAGAGAUGGCUCGGUGGUUAAAAGUGUAUAUUACUUUUGCAGAGGACCAAAGUUUGAUUCCCAGCAGCUAUAUUGAACAGCUCACAACUCUCUGCAACUUCAGCCCAGGGACAUCCAACUCCUCUGGCCUCUGAAGGUACCAGCAUUCACAUGCACAUACCAACACACAGACACACAAAAGUAAAAAUAAAUUUCAAAAGAAAGUUUUGAAUAACUUUUGUUUUUGGUUUUUUGUUUGUUUGUUUGUUUGUUUUUUGAGACAAGGUUUCUCUGUAUUGUUUUGGAACCUGCCCUGAAACUUGCUCUGUAGACCAGGCUGGCCUGGAACUCACAGAGAUCUGCCUCUCUCUGCCUCCCAAGUGCUCGGAUUAUAGGUGUGUGCCACCAACAACCAGCUUUGAAUAACUUUUGAACAAGACUGGGGUGUGAGUCCAUUUGUAGAGUGCUUGCCUAAUACACAUAAAGCCCUGGAUUUUGUUCAUCCCCAGCAGCACAACCAGGCAUGAUAACAGACUGUGAUCCCAGCACUCUGGAGAUGGAGAGAGGAUUAAUAAGGAGUUCAAGGCCAAAAUGUGCUACAUGAGAUCCUGCCCUAAAAAAAGGAGGUGGAGAGCUGGGCGGUGGUGGCUCAUGCCUUUGAUCACAGCACUUGGGAGGCAGAGGCAGGCAGAUUUCUGUGAGUUGGAGGCCAGCCUGCUCUACAAAUCUACACAGAGAGACCCUGUCUCACAAAAAAAAGAAAGAAAGAAAAGAAGGUGGAGCAAAUUUUAAGUAAACCAGAGACAGAAGAAAAGUUUACUAACAUGGCAAAGUUUACAAACUAAGCCCCAUAUCACACUAACACUGAAUUCAGUGCAUUUUGUUGAAAGUCUGGGCCAGGUCCAGAGUCCCCACAUACAUCAACAGUUACUGCUCCACACAGCACUGGGUACUUCUGCCCACAGAACAGGAAAGGAAAACAUAUGAGAGGAGCAUAAGUGCAUAAUGAUAUAUUUAAUGUUAUUUGCAUAAGACUGAUUCCUCUUUCUAGAAAAACCAUAUAACCAAUGAGGAAGCUAUUAUAUAAAGGUUGCUGUGUAAAAGACCAACCUACAUGGCUGGCAGUGCAGCUUGAAGUAUGUGCUUGGCACAUACUUUAUAUUUAUUUAAUAUUUAUCAUCAAAAACAAAGAAACAAACAAAAUCCCACAACAAUAAAAGCAAUAGAAUAAAUCUACAAAAAUCAAUAAUAUUGCCUUGAAAUAUAUCACAUAAAAUGAAAUGGGCCCAACAAAAAAGGGUCCAUUCUUAUGAUCUACAGGCAUGUAGUCUUUAGAGCAAUAUUCCCUGUGGGGUAUUCAAUGAUAAUGGUUGCACAAGAGGUGAGUGUGCUUAAAGCUGUAUUUAAAAUAUCUACUAAAACCUGGCAUUGGUGUCUCACGCCUUUAAUCCCAGCACUUGGGAGGCAGAGACAGGCGGAUCUCUGAGAGUUCGAAGCCAGCCUGGUCUCCAAAGCGAGUGCCAGGAUAGGCUCCAAAGCUACACAAAGAAACCCUGUCUUGAAAAAACCAAAACAAUAAAUAAAUAAAUAAAAUAUCUACUAAAAUAGUUUAAAUUGGAGGGGAGGGGAAAAGUUUAAAUUGUAUAUUCUUUUUAUAUAUAAUUUACAUGAUAAAACAAGGCAGUAUUAAAGAAGCCAAACAUAUUGCUAGGUGUGAUAGUGCACACCUUUAAUAUCAGCCCUCUGGAGGCAGAGAUAGGUGGAUCUCUGUGUGUUCAAGGCCAGUCUGGUUUACAUAGUGAGCUCCAAGCCAGCCAAUUCUACAUAGUAAGACCCUGUCUCUAGGAAGAGGAGGAGGAGGAGGAGGAGGAGGAGGAGGAGGAGGAGGAGGAGGAGGAGGAGGAAGAAGAAGAAGAAGAAGAAGAAGAAGAAGAAGAAGAAGAAGAAGAAGAAGAAACAGCUACCACCUGUAAUGAUAAAUCUUUCUGCCAGCUGCCCGAGUUCUGCCCAAGUUCCAUCUGCCACGUUAGGGCCCCAAAUAUUACACAGAGACUUAUAUUAGGUACAAUGCUGCUGGCCAAAGACUAGGAUUUCUAUAUCCUUGCUCUGUCUUAAUUAUCAACCAUAAUCAUAAGACUUAUCUUAUGGAGGACGCUGGCGAAAUGUGUCCUGUCUUUCCAGGAUCACAUAUUGGCUCCAGAGCAGAAAGCAUGAGGAAGACGAAGAGAGAGCAAUUUCCUCUUUGUCCCUGCUUAUAUUCUGAGUCUGCCCGUUAUGUGACUUCCUG